GCCAGGGAAACCAUCGCCUCUGGCUUAGGCUGCGGAGCGGGAACCCGAUUCUCUGAGUUAUGUUUCUGCCUAACCACGCAGAACAAGACUUAGUGACUGCAAGAGUCGCGCGCGGUGCUAUUUCUUGCUAAUGAAAGGUCCCCACAGGGACAUUUUUCUAUGACUGGAGGCGUGGCCAGUCCCCCUGCACGGCUUCCGGGAAGGGGUGGGGAUAGGAGGCUCGCCCCGGGGAAGGUCACGCUCGGGGUCCCCAGACCCGGUCUACGCGCGCCCCUGCCCCGCCGCCUCCCGGGAGCGGCCGGGGUCCCCGCUGGCUGCGGAGUGGCAGGUACUCGAGGUCCCGGCGGUGGCAGCCGGGCCAUACGCGGGGAGGAGCGAACUGCGAGCCCGGGUGUGGCCGAAGCGCUUCCUGUGCCAGGUUUCCGGCUCCGGGUCCCUGGAGGAGGAUCGCGGGCCAGAGGCGGAGCCGCCGUCCUGCCGCGACUUUCAGACUCCGACCAUGGCCUCGCGCUGGUGGCGGUGGCUGCGCGGCUGCUCCUGGAGGCCGGCGGCGCGGAGGCCCGGGCCCGGCUUCCCUGGCCUUGCGGGACCGCCGGGGCCGCCAGCAGCUGCCGACGCCCACGCGCAGGUUCAUAGGUGGAAGGGACUUGACUUGUCUCAGAUACCCUAUAUUAAUCUUGUGAAGCAUUUAACAUCUGCCUGUCCAAAUGUAUAUAGUAUAUCACGGUUUCAUCACACAACCCCGGACAGUAAAACACACAGUGGUGAAAAAUACACCGAUCCUUUCAAACUCGGUUGGAGAGACUUGAAAGGUCUGUAUGAGGACAUUAGAAAGGAACUGCUCAUAUCAACAUCAGAACUUAAGGAAAUGUCUGAGUACUACUUUGAUGGAAAAGGGAAAGCCUUUCGACCAAUUAUUGUGGCGCUAAUGGCCCGAGCAUGCAAUAUUCAUCAUAACAACUCCCGACAUGUGCAAGCCAGCCAGCGCACCAUAGCCUUAAUUGCAGAAAUGAUCCACACUGCUAGUCUGGUUCACGAUGACGUUAUUGAUGAUGCAAGUUCUCGAAGAGGAAAACACACAGUUAAUAAGAUCUGGGGUGAAAAGAAGGCUGUUCUUGCUGGAGAUUUAAUUCUUUCUGCAGCAUCUAUAGCUCUGGCACGAAUUGGAAAUACAACUGUUAUAUCUAUUUUAACCCAAGUUAUUGAAGAUUUGGUGCGUGGUGAAUUUCUUCAGCUUGGGUCAAAAGAAAAUGAGAAUGAAAGAUUUGCACACUACCUUGAGAAGACCUUCAAGAAGACUGCCAGCCUGAUAGCUAACAGUUGUAAAGCAGUAUGUCUCUGUUCUAGGAUGUCCCGACCCAGUGGUGCAUGAGAUCGCCUACCAGUACGGAAAAAAUGUAGGAAUAGCUUUUCAGCUAAUAGAUGAUGUGUUGGACUUCACCUCAUGUUCUGACCAGAUGGGCAAACCAACAUCAGCUGAUCUGAAGCUCGGGUUAGCCACUGGUCCUGUCCUGUUUGCCUGUCAGCAGUUCCCAGAAAUGAAUGCUAUGAUCAUGCGAAGGUUCAGUUUGCCGGGAGAUGUAGACAGAGCUCGACAGUAUGUGUUACAGAGUGAUGGUGUGCAACAAACAACCUACCUCGCCCAGCAGUACUGCCAUGAAGCAAUAAGAGAGAUCAGUAAACUUCGACCAUCCCCAGAAAGAGAUGCCCUCAUUCAACUUUCAGAAAUUGUACUCACAAGAGAUAAAUGACAACUCUUUCUGUUCUUUCUGGCAGCUAUCUUACCAGACUGUGCCUAAAGAAUUUUGUGGAAUACACUUUGUUUGCUUCAUGUGCAGAUAACCAAAAAUCAUUUUAAAAGAUAUCAAACUUAUUGAUGGGCAAUUUAUUUUUUUUAUUGCAAAAGUUUUUUCAGAAAACUUUUUAAAUGUAAUUAAACCAUCUGAAUCUGUCAUUCUAGUCCUAUAAAUUAUAAUCGAGGUAUCUUGAUGGUUAUAUGUGGUAUUGUUUACACUGUUAAUAUCCACAUGUAAGGCCAUUACACAAAUAAAUAAUCGAUGUUAAAAUUCAAA